rnacentral:rRNA from 1 species
GACGAACGCUGGCGGCGUGCCUAAUACAUGCAAGUUGAGCGCUGAAGGUUGGUACUUGUACCAACUGGAUGAGCAGCGAACGGGUGAGUAACGCGUGGGGAAUCUGCCUUUGAGCGGGGGACAACAUUUGGAAACGAAUGCUAAUACCGCAUAAAAACUUUAAACACAAGUUUUAAGUUUGAAAGAUGCAAUUGCAUCACUUAAAGAUUAUCCCGCGUUGUAUUAGCUAGUUGGUGAGGUAAAGGCUCACCAAGGCGAUGAUACAUAGCCGACCUGAGAGGGUGAUCGGCCAAACUGGAACUGAGACACGGCCCAAACUCCUACGGGAGGCAGCAGUAGGGAAUCUUCCGCAAUGGGCGAAAGCCUGACGGAGCAACGCCGCGUGAGUGAAGAAGGUUUUCGGAUCGUAAAACUCUGUUGUUAGGGAAGAACGUAGGUGUAAGUAACAGGGCACACAUUGACGGGAACUAACCAGAAAGGGACGGCCAACCACGUG